UAACCUGCCCAAGAGACUGGGAUAACACCUGGAAACAGAUGCUAAUACCGGAGUAACAACACUAGACGCAUGUCUAGAGUUUAAAAGAUGGUUCUGCUAUCACUCUUGGAUGGACCUGCGGUGCAUUAGCUAGUUGGUAAGGUAACGGCUUACCAAGGCAAUGAUGCAUAGCCGAGUUGAGAGACUGAUCGGCCACAUUGGGACUGAGACACGGCCCAAACUCCUACGGAAGGCAGCAG
rnacentral:rRNA from 1 species